rnacentral:rRNA from 1 species
UACGUAGGAGGCGAGCGUUGUCCGGAUUUAUUGGGCGUAAAGAGCGUGUAGGCGGCCAGGUAGGUCUGCUGUGAAAACUCGAGGCUCAACCUCGAGACGUCGGCGGAAACCAUCUGGCUAGAGUCCGGAAGAGGAGAGUGGAAUUCCUGGUGUAGCGGUGAAAUGCGCAGAUAUCAGGAAGAACACCCGUGGCGAAGGCGGCUCUCUGGGACGGUACUGACGCUGAGACGCGAAAGCGUGGGGAGCGAACAGG